GGGGCUGUUUUGGCUUUCGACGGAAGUUUUAUAGCAGUUUAAGCAUACCAGCUGAUACCUGUAACUAUCAACAAACAAUAAACGCAAACAACGCGAAUUACGCUCCAGCUUACGCAAAAGUAGCGUGAGUUUAAUCUCCUUUUGGAGCCAGAUUCUUCUUUCUUUAUCGGGAGAUUUUAGAAUCUGUCAUCAAUCCGAUUGCUUGAGUGUUUUUGCCUAGUGAUACUCAAAAAGAUUAUAGGCUUUGAUACAUUCUAUUUUGCAUGUUUUAAGGGGUGUGUUAAGAUAACAAAACAUUGCUAAGUAUGUAGAAAUCUCUGUAGAAUAGGAUUUUCGGACUGGGGUUCAAUUCCCCACAGCUCCACCA
rfam:Helicobacter bilis strain ATCC 49320 CONTIG_141, whole genome shotgun sequence.